AGAUCACUUGAACCCAGGAGUUCAAGGCUGCAGUGAGCUAAGACUGUGCCACUGCACUCCAGCCUGGGUGACAGAG
rnacentral:snRNA from 1 species